rnacentral:rRNA from 1 species
CGGGAGUAACGCGUGGGUAACCCGCCUCAUACAGGGGAGUAACAGUUAGAAAUGACUGCUAAUACCGCAUAAGCGCACGGUGUCGCAUGACACAGUGUGAAAAACUACCGGUGGUAUGAGAUGGACCCGCGUCUGAUUAGCUAGUUGGCGAGGUAACGGCCCACCAAGGCGACGAUCAGUAGCCGACCUGAGAGGGUGAUCGGCCACAUUGGGACUGAGACACGGCCCAA